ACAGACAGACGUAGAGAGUGAGAAAGGGAAAGAGGGAGAGAGAAAACCCUGUAAGGAAGAUAAAGAGAGAACCAAGAAUUACGACACAGAAAAAUCUCCAACUUGAUCCGUAGACACCAAAGAUACCUGCGAGCCCAGUGAAAAAAAAAAAAUAUACAGAACGUAACAAGAAACGGCAAAAAGUAUAAACACCGUGCGAGGUAAUAAUAAUCAGGGUAAGAGUCCACCAACCCGCCAAGCAAAAAGAUCUAUAUGUCCACAAGGCACAUUUAUUAAACAUGUACAUCGAUGUAAUAAUCGAUAAUACAAGAGAGUGUAUACAAGAUGUAAAAAAGGAUUUAUGUGUAUGUACGUGUAGGUAUGUUUUUAUGUAUAUAUGAAGUGUAUAUGGAAGUGUAUAUGCAAUGUGUGCAUAUGUGUGCAUAUGUGUACUACUGUACCACCUUUCCAUGUAUAUGUGAAUAAAUGUCCUGCAUCCCAGUAAAAAAAAAAUAACGCUAUUUAAAAAAAGGGCACACCUUUCGCAAGAAAAAAAAAGUACUAGGGAAGAGGAAGAAACGUAAAUACCGUACACACGGUCGCAUAGAAUCCAUUUAAAAAGAAAAAGGAAGGAAAAUAAGAGAAAAAUAAUAAAUCAAGGAAAACAAAAGAAGAAAGAUAAUGUUGUCCCACGCUGUGUCAACGAAUAUGCGUGAAAUAACGCGUGUCAGCUUUCGCCGGGACAAUCGACGAUCUUAUCGCGAGACAUGGAUCUAAUUCGUUUAACCUUUUUCCAUCAACCCCGCUACAUAACGUAUUAUCAAAUCACUUUCAAAUGUUCAAAUUUAUCUAUUUGGCUUUUCAUGUUUUCUUGCAAAAAUGUUCUUUUCAAGCACAGAUAAUUACAUAUUAAGUAGUGAAAAUAAUUCGUGCCGUUUCUAGAUUUGCUUUCAUUCAUUUCUAUUAAUUAAAAAUGUCGCGAAUUUUCUGACUUAUCCAAUAUACAUAUGUAUAAAUUAUCUGAUAUAUAUAUAUAUACCUGUAUAUAUAUAUAUAUAUAUACCAGGUAAAGAAAUAAAAUAUAAAGGCUAAGAGUUAGGAGAAAGUAAUUCGUAAAAGAAACGACACCGUGUCAGUCACCGUGUUAGCAAUUCACAAAUAACAAACACAUUAAACGUAAUGAGAUAAUGCCACAAUAUCUAAGAUGCAGCUUUUGGAGUUAGUUGGAAAAAAAAAAAAA